AAAAAACCAGAGACAUAUAAAUACAGAGAUUGGCAACUUAUCGUUACGGCUAUAACCAGCGGUCAACUUCACGCGUGUGCACGAGAUUUCUCGAGAGUAGAAAAUUCGCCAAACAAUCCGCCAUAUUGAUUAUUUACAAACAGCUUUAACGUACAGAAAACAACCAAAUUAUAAUAAAAUACAAUCUAUAUCAACACAAUUCAGUUAAGAAUAACUUAAAUUUAUGUAGAGGCGUAGUUUAUUUGUAAUUUUAAGCUUUCUUUAGUAAUAGCUAAUAAAAUUAUAGGCGAAUUUAUAUCCCGAUUCAAGAAGCCCAAAUUUUAGAUUCAGUACUCGAUAAGGCUCCCGACUUUUGGAAC
rnacentral:lncRNA from 1 species